GGGUGCGAUCAUACCAACAAUAAAGCAUCAGAUCCUAUCAGAACUCCGAAGUUAAACUUGUUUGAGCGAGAGCAGUAUUAGGAUGGGCGACUUCCGGGAAAGUCAUCGUGUUGCACCAU
rnacentral:rRNA from 1 species